GGAAACGGGUUAAUAUUCCCGUACCGGAUGUGGUUGCGAUGGGGGGACGAAGAAGGCUAGGUGAGCCAGGCGUUGGUUGUCCUGGUGAAAGCAUGUAGGCCGAGGAAUCAGGCAAAUCCGGUUCCUCUGAGGUCGAGAUGCGAGACGAACUGACCACGGUCAGGAAGUCAUCGAUGCCACGCUUCCAGGAAAAGCCUCUAAGCUUCAGACCACAUGCGACCGUACCCCAAACCGACACAGGUGGUCAGGUAGAGAAUACCAAGGCGCUUGAGAGAACUCGGGUGAAGGAACUAGGCAAAAUGGCACCGUAACUUCGGGAGAAGGUGCACCGGUUCGA
rnacentral:rRNA from 1 species